GAUGAACGCUGGCGGCGUGCCUAAUACAUGCAAGUCGAGCGAACAGAUGAGGAGCUUGCUCCUCUGACGUUAGCGGCGGACGGGUGAGUAACACGUGGAUAACCUACCUAUAAGACUGGGAUAACUUCGGGAAACCGGAGCUAAUACCGGAUAAUAUAUUGAACCGCAUGGUUCAAUAGUGAAAGACGGUUUUGCUGUCACUUAUAGAUGGAUCCGCGCCGCAUUAGCUAGUUGGUAAGGUAACGGCUUACCAAGGCAACGAUGCGUAGCCGACCUGAGAGGGUGAUCGGCCACACUGGAACUGAGACACGGUCCAGACUCCUACGGGAGGCAGCAGUAGCGAAUCUUCCGAAAUGGGCGAAAGCCUAACGGAGCAACGCCGCGUGAGUGAUGAAGGUCUUCGGAUCGUAAAACUCUGUUAUUAGGGAAGAACAAAUGUGUAAGUAACUAUGCACGUCUUGACGGUACCUAAUCAGAAAGCCACGGCUAACUACGUG
rnacentral:rRNA from 1 species